UUCAUCCGAUAAUCUUGCAGUAAAACGCGCAGUUUUGCACAUAAGGCCUCGCAGUGUUGACGACUUCCAAAGAUGUGAUGACGACCGCGCGUUAAGACUCACUGAGCCGAUGCGAUGUACUUAAACUAAGGAGAAAUGGGAUACUACGUUGCGGAAGAAGUACCACAUAGUUUACGCUGGCAAAAUACGUCCAUCUCUUGGCGUUAUGACGGCGGAAAUAUGUCGGUAAGCGGCAAAACGACAUGUAAACAAAGUCACAUGACCUCAAAAUGACGUUUUCUAUGACGUGCGACCAGGACAAGAUGGCAGUUUUGCCGAAAGCACCCGCUUGAGGGUAGUUACAACAAUGGCGGGUUUGUGUCACCCCUGUGAUUGCGGAUGUCCAGGUCUCUAGUAUACUAGUAGGUCGUGGUUUUGAUGUCCACGUCGUGUGAUGUCGAUUAUUCCAAACUUGAAUGCCCUCGAGCUUGCGAUAGUCCAGCAGUCACGCAAAACUUUUGUUCUUACGAGGGCACGCAGGAGUCUCAGCAUGACACGAUAUCAUCCGCAGAAUCGUCGACGGAGGAUGAAUUAUCGUCAUCGCCGUCACCUCGCCGCCGUGGGAAACAGUCUUCAUGUGUAAUGAAAAUGCUGAGAACCUCACAGCGGAAAUAUGGCAUUGCUCUUUCGGUUCAGGUGUCCUUGCGGCAAAUGCGUGCCGAUGCCGACGGCAGAAGAAUGCCUUUGUUGUCGCGAAAUGAGACAUUACUGAAGCAGCGCAGCGGUUGCAUUUCAAGAAAUGUGUACUUUGAAAUACUGUGGCUGAAGACAGGUGUUCUAGGUGUCCUACUGCUACGUGAGAGAAAGCGACGAGUACGCUCUUGUCAGGAACAGCGAAGUGAACAAGAAAUUUCGGUACGUUGCCUACAAACUACCGGGUGGCUCUGGGGACCAUUAGGAGAGCACUGCAGAAAAGUCCUCAAAGCAUGUGCUGUACAUGCCAUAAGGGAAAACUUUUCUUCUACAGCAUACAAAGAUUUUUGCCUUUUUGACGUGUGAUGCAGUAGGUGCUGUCUGACCAUGUGUAUGUUUAUUCGCUUUCAGUGAGGUGAAACUCUCACUUUCCUUUCAGGUGCUUGUGGGCAGCAUCCAAUGCCUGCUAUCUUGACAGAGGUACACUGGAUGGUUUGGUCGUGAACACUGCUUGAUCACAACAGUAUCCAUUUCAUGCACAAUAGAGGUCUGCCAGAUACCCUUCUGGAGUAACCAGACAGCCACUACACAGUAACGUACAUUCUACAGACAUCAAAGCUUGUAAUGUUGCUUUAUUGAUCACUGUGUUUAAGAAUGAGCAUACAAGUGAUAGCCAGUAAACAAACAAACAAGGAAGGAGAACAUCCCCAUACUGUGUCCAUAUCAAUUUGCAAGCGCUACACAUCGCACCAACCAGUAACGCAAUGUAUGCAUGCUUUUUUUUCUCUCUUCUGUUCAGUGCACAGAUGUUUGCCACAAACACGUUCCAGUCCAUAAGCUCUAAGAGAACAUAGGCUAUCACCUUGCCUAUCAAACAACUCCAGUUCAUGACUUCAUCAGUUUAAGAAGGCCUCAUGCCAAUGUCUUCAACAGAAGCUUCUCUUCAGAGGCAUCCCUAUCAUUGAGAAAAAUUUUAGACCUUUUCUGUGCACAUCCAUCUUUGCAACCCUUUCUCAAUUUAUCAUUAUAAAUUUCCCAUGUUUUCCCUCAUACCAAUCCAGUUGCAGUCAUUGGUGCGGGCUCAGGGCUUUUGCAGACCGCUACUAUUUCACUGUAGCUCACAUCUUUGCAAGUUGUUGGUGUAUCACUCAGGAGGUGAUCUACAUCCUCUGCGAAGAUAAGAUAAUACGGUCAUGGCUAAUGUCUUCCCUAUGCUCUUUAUAUCGAAACAUGGUCCCUCAAGGCUGUCAAGGAUGUUGAAGGCGUGCCGGGUCAAACCUAGACACAUUAUCUCGAAGUUUGUAUACACUGUUUCCUGAAUGACAGCUCAUUUGUACACGUAAGCUAAUACUUCUCAACAUGCUAAGCAGAAGCUCUGCAUUUCCCUCAGAAUUGGAAUGACACCUGUAAAGGUGGUUACAAGUAUGCUACAUCCACGGGUUUAGCUCAGCACAUGCACGGCACUUGACCGCGGCUUCAAGCUUUCUCUUAACCCUCUGUUACAAAAUCCUCUUGUGGACUACAUGGCCAUAAGCAUUCCCAAGCAUGGUAAUUGCAUAUUGCAAUUGUUUACUAUAAGUAACUACAAGCCUGUUCUUCUUACCUUUUACUACAUGUACCUUUUACGUCAUUGUUGCAGAUAGAAUUAUUGUAACAGAAAAUUCAACUACGGAAAGCUUGUGUGCCUUGUUUUGUAUUAUUUUUUGUGACCUUAAUACUUUCCAACAAGAAUUUGGAUUUCCUCCUUACCACCUUCUUUGUCCCCUUUCUAUAAUGUACAUCAGUAUCUGUACCAUAUGUGUGUGUGUGUGUGCCUGUAUCAUGCCUAAUGAAGGACGGACUCUAUUCGAAAGCUUGUGUUUCAGUAAAAUUAUUUGAAUGUUUCA